GCAUUUGACUCAUGUGCCCUAGAAAAUAACUGCUCACUCCCACUAUGUGCUCAUGUACUGAGCUGGGAUCUAAACCUGACCUGCAGUUCUGGGAUGCAAACUCAUGAUCAAAAUCACUGGAUGCAGGAGGUCAGUGUUGCAGUGUCCUUAGUCUCUGGGGUGAGAGUCCACUAUUUAAGGAGUAGUGUUGUGAAUUCAAAACAGGUUAAUGCUUUCUAAGGUCUAGUGAAGUUACAAAAACAUGGUACAAAAGAGCAUGCCUGCCUUAAAUAAAAGCUGAUUAUAGAGCUCAAUCCUGUUUCUAUUAAAGUCAAUAAGGAGAUCAUGCUUCUAAAUUUCACCCAACCUGGGUCAGGGUCUUUUACAGGGGGCAAAAAGUUUCUGUAUGAAAAAUUGAGGUGUUUGGUUUCCAGCACAAGCAGUAAUUCUGCUCUUGCAGUAAUGCAAUGCAAGUGUGCUCUUCAGGGAGUUUAUUUAAUAAACAGCACAAAAACAGUGGUUCUGUCUACAGCCUUUUCUCCCACACAGCACCUUGAAAGGAACUGAGUACUGGGCCGUAUGAAGCGAAGGCUAACCUUCAACAGGAUUUUAUUCUCCCCAUAGUCCAGGGAUUAAGUUUUCAUUACAGUUAAUAGGACAUGGAAUAGCUAAUAUUUUAAGCCAGAUCUGAGGCUGUGAAUGGGUAGCAGAGUUGUGACUGAUACAGUUUUCUUUAUUUGAUACUCUCAGAAUGUGCACAAUCCAGAGGUGCCUGGUUGUAAAGCUUGGAAAUAGACUCACCUCCUACAGUGAUUAUCAGAAAGACUUCUGAUCCACCUGCACACAUAAGCUGGAUAUUUGUAUGCACGCAUACAUCCACCAAGCACAAGUCUCUUGAGAGUAUUGGCUCUCGUUAUUGACUUUUGCAACCAACCAGGUAGCUGGGCAGAGCAUGUCCAGAGAGAUGCCUGCCUGGCUCACAGCACUCUGGUUAAGGGAAGGCUGGUUCAAUAUAGACCAGAGCAACUAACAGCAGACAACGGUCACUUGAGAGUUUUCAGGAGGCCGAAAGUCACCUACAGACAGUCCCUCGAGGCCCCACGUGGCAGCACGUGGUUGCAGGGAAAAGGCAGGACCCCUGUGUGCAUCACUGCCCACCUCUGCAAGUGCCUGGAGAGGCCGAUGAGAGGAUGUUCCUGUGCCCCAGUCAGUCACACAGCUACCAAAGGCAGGUAGAGCUUCUCCACUGUCAUCCCAACAACAAAACCAGCUUCACUAAUAAUGAAAUCAGACACUGAGUACAUUGGAAUAUUUUAUUUUGACUUUACAUGCGGUGUUAAAAACCCAAAGAACGUAUUAUUUACACAUCCACAAUACAAGUUUACAAGAUAUCUAUACAUGUUAAAGUACUCUAUAGUAUAGAGCAGCUUCAUUUAAGGGUUACUUUUUUAUGCCGUACCAUUAAAAAAGAUACAAUCUGCGUUUACCUUUGCACAAAUGGAUAAAGCAUCUUUUAUUAUUAAAUUAAAAGAAUAAGGACUAGGUUGAAUGUUAGAAAUUUCAACAUAAAUACUGAGAGAACUCACAUUACCAUCUACAAGGCAGCACAAUGUU